rnacentral:rRNA from 1 species
UACGAAGGGGGCGAGCGUUGUUCGGAGUUACUGGGCGUAAAGCGCGCGUAGGCGGCUUUGUAAGUCGGUUGUGAAAUCCCCGGGCUUAACCUGGGAACUGCAUCCGAGACUGCAUGGCUAGAGUAUGGGAGAGGGAAGUGGAAUUUCAGGUGUAGCGGUGAAAUGCGUAGAUAUCUGAAGGAACAUCAGUGGCGAAAGCGACUUCCUGGACCAAUACUGACGCUCAUGUGCGAAAGCGUGGGGAGCAAACAGG